AUGAUACAGCCUCCCGGGGCCACAGUUUGGGGCGGUGUCUCGGGGCCAGGACGAUUCCCAAACCCUCGACCGCGGCGUUCCCUCCCCGGCGCAGCCCGGCGCCCCGGGACCCGCGCCCCGCCGGCCGGCCGCCCGCACUUCGCAGAAAGCCAGCGGCCGCCGUCCCAGGUCGUACCCGCCACCGCACCGAGCCACUCCGUACCUCUUCCUCCUGAAGUCGGCAGCUUAAAAUGACAGGGCGCGAGAACUCGAGUGACAUCCGGGGGCAGCCCGCUCCGGGCCAGCGUUUUCAGGGCGCAGCUUCAAACCCACCUCCGACGCCGGACCCUCGCAAACCUCUCCAGCGUCUCCGAACCCGCCGCCCCUGUUCAGACUCCUCUACAGCCCUUUUCUGACUGUCCUGGAAUUGUUUACGUGGCUGCUUCUCUUUACUCUUUUGGGAGAUCCUUUUUGGAAGACGAGACCGGGCCCUGUUUAUCUUUUGAAUCCCAUGGCUAUUUGAGUACGCUAUCUGGUAUACAAUAGGCGCUCAAUAAAUACUUGUUGUCUGAGGGAAUAUUUCUCACCGCCAGGCGAACUGGAGGCCAAGACAGAUGAUAUUCAGAGGGUCAAAGCCGCUGAAAGAAGGGAGACUCAGCGUUCUGGGACGUCGGCGCACUAUGCUUGUUUACGCACCGACCUCGGAAGGAAGAACUGCCUGUUUCUGUUUCCUCCUCUGAAAUGGAAGUAGUUCUAUUUAUCUACCAGGAGUUUGCUAUUAGAGGAAAUUAUAGGUUGAUAGAUAAAACUAUAGCACCUGGCACCCAUUCGGACCCAGUUAAGUCUACCAUACCUGGGAGCUGACAUGAUUAAUUUCCACUUUCCCUGAGCCAUCGAGAACUUUUACAAUAUUGUAUCAUUUAAGCUUUCAAACUUAGUGACUGCUACAGACACAUAAUUUAAAACUCCAAACAUCGGUAGAUUUCUUCCUCACUUCUCACUCCCAGGAAUUCUCUCUGACAGCACGCUUUUCCCUUCCAGCACACGACAAUCACAACUUCUAAUUAUUAUUAGUUUGCUUCACUGUUUGUCUCCGCCCCCAACCCCCCCGACCUCCUCCCCCACUAGACAUUCUUUACCCUGGACUGGUUUAAGUGCUCCUGGGUAUGGGAUGGGGGUGGCGGCGGAGUUGAAGAUAAGGCUUCUGCUUUUAGGGAAUUGAAAGUGGUGCUGUGGAGACAAGAUACCCCAAACAACUCCGCGGCAACGUCACCGCCGAUCCUGGUUCAGAUGGUAAAAAGCAAAGAAAAUAUUUGCUUUAAGAGCAUUUUGAAGAGAAAAAAAAAAAAAAAAAAAACAGAACUGAUACUUGGAUUUACAUAUUGGAUUUUUCUGGUGUUGGGGGGCGUCUGGAGAUUUUGAUAAAGAGAUUAUAUUGAUGUCAUAUUGUCAUUUCUCUCUACGGGGGAAAACAAAUGUCCCCCGGAUGAAAAUAAACCAAGAGUCUAUUGAAAUUGCAACUGAAGUUCAGAAGAGGCAAGGGUACAGUUAUUCUUCCUUCAGUUAUAUAAGGAACCACGAGGGGGCAAUGUCUUUCUGAGCAACGGCCGAGUGGUGGUCUUGGGCCCCUGUGCUGACCAAUAAUGCCGGCACUUUGCCCUCCUUGGCCAUUCUUGCCUGUUCCUGAAUACACUCCACAGAAAGGCAUUGUCUUCAUGGAGCCUGGCCGAGGACCAAGAAAAAUAACAAUUGACCUAGUCCUUGAUAGUCCCCAUCAGACUCCACUUACAAGUAGGUGGAUGUUGGGUGGUCCUAGUGUGCUUGGAGAACCUCCCCUACCCCCAUCCAAGGAAAUGUGGCUUAAUCUCAAGCAGAGAACCUGAUUCCUUUGUCUUGAAGCCAAGUUGGCACCUUGUCCAUUGUUAAAAGUCAAAACCCUCUGGAAUAAAAAAUGAGAAUAAGUUCCA